GAUGAACGCUGACAGAAUGCUUAACACAUGCAAGUCAACUUGAAUUUGGGUUUUUAACUUAGGUUUGGGUGGCGGACGGGUGAGUAACGCGUAAAGAACUUGCCUCACAGCUAGGGACAACAUUUGGAAACGAAUGCUAAUACCUAAUAUUAUGAUAAUAGGGCAUCCUAUAAUUAUGAAAGCUAUAAGCGCUGUGAGAGAGCUUGCGUCCCAUAGCUAGUUGGAGAGGUAACGGCUCACCAAGGCGAUGAUGGGUAGCCGGCCUGAGAGGGUGAUCGGCCACAAGGGGACUGAGACACGGCCCUUACUCCUACGGGAGGCAGCAGUGGGGAAUAUUGGACAAUGGACCAAGAGUCUGAUCCAGCAAUUCUGUGUGCACGAUGAAGUUUUUCGGAAUGUAAAGUGCUUUCAGUUGGGAAGAAAGAAAUGACGGUACCAACAGAAGAAGUGACGGCUAAAUACGUGCCAGCAGCCGCGGUAAUACGUAUGUCACGAGCGUUAUCCGGAUUUAUUGGGCGUAAAGCGCGUCUAGGUGGUUAUGUAAGUCUGAUGUGAAAAUGCAGGGCUCAACUCUGUAUUGCGUUGGAAACUGUAUAACUAGAGUACUGGAGAGGUAAGCGGAACUACAAGUGUAGAGGUGAAAUUCGUAGAUAUUUGUAGGAAUGCCGAUGGGGAAGCCAGCUUACUGGACAGAUACUGACGCUGAAGCGCGAAAGCGUGGGUAGCAAACAGG
rnacentral:rRNA from 1 species